AUACUUACCUGGAUGGGGUCAAUGGAUGAUCAAAAAGGUCCAUGGCCUAGAUCAAUGACCUUCAUUGCACUUGGGAGGGUUACUGCUUUAAGGUCUGUCCAAGUGACAGAACCUACAUCAUAAUUUGUGGAAGUCGGAGUCUGUGUUGGCGCAACUCUUG
rfam:Cajanus cajan Scaffold130267_25, whole genome shotgun sequence.